GGGGAAUCUUGCGCAAUGGGGGGAACCCUGACGCAGCGACGCCGCGUGCGGGACGGAGGCCUUCGGGUCGUAAACCGCUUUCAGCAGGGAAGAGUCAAGACUGUACCUGCAGAAGAAGCCCCGGCUAACUACGUGCCAGCAGCCGCGGUAAUACGUAGGGGGCGAGCGUUAUCCGGAUUCAUUGGGCGUAAAGCGCGCGUAGGCGGCCCGGCAGGCCGGGGGUCGAAGCGGGGGGCUCAACCCCCCGAAGCCCCCGGAACCUCCGCGGCUUGGGUCCGGUAGGGGAGGGUGGAACACCCGGUGUAGCGGUGGAAUGCGCAGAUAUCGGGUGGAACACCGGUGGCGAAGGCGGCCCUCUGGGCCGAGACCGACGCUGAGGCGCGAAAGCUGGGGGAGCGAAC
rnacentral:rRNA from 1 species